GCCCGCACGGGAUAAUAGUUAUUCCGUGCGGGCGGCUAAGACGCCCGCACGCAAUAACUAUUAUCCCGUGCGGUU
rnacentral:pre_miRNA from 11 species